GACGAACGCUGGCGGCGUGCUUAACACAUGCAAGUCGAACGAAGAGCGAUGGAAGCUUGCUUCUAUCAAUCUUAGUGGCGAACGGGUGAGUAACGCGUAAUCAACCUGCCCUUCAGAGGGGGACAACAGUUGGAAACGACUGCUAAUACCGCAUACGAUCUAAUCUCGGCAUCGAGGAUAGAUGAAAGGUGGCCUCUACAUGUAAGCUAUCACUGAAGGAGGGGAUUGCGUCUGAUUAGCUAGGUGGAGGGGUAACGGCCCACCAAGGCGAUGAUCAGUAGCCGGUCUGAGAGGAUGAACGGCCACAUUGGGACUGAGACACGGCCCAGACUCCUACGGGAGGCAGCAGUGGGGAAUCUUCCGCAAUGGACGAAAGGCUGACGGAGCAACGCCGCGUGAGUGAUGACGGCCUUCGGGUUGUAAAGCUCUGUUAAUCGGGACGAAAGGCCUUCUUGCGAAUAGUGAGAAGGAUUGACGGUACCGGAAUAGAAAGCCACGGCUAACUACGUG
rnacentral:rRNA from 1 species